rnacentral:lncRNA from 1 species
AUCUUCCUUCCUCUGGCUGCCUCUUCCUUCCUCUGGCUGCCUCACAGGCUCCAUACAACAUGUUCCCCAAUAGAAUAGUGCCUUCGCUUCGUAGCUUUAGAGCGGGCAAAAGGCUUCCAUCGGGGAGAGCGCCUUUAUUUCUGUGAGCUGUGGGAGGCUCCAGGGAUUUAGGUGGUUUGGGUAUCAGACCCUUCCAAGUAACAAUCUGUGGGGAUCAUACUUUCCCUCACUGUUGGCUCCACCCCAGAGGAAACUGGCCCCUUCAAGGGAAAUGAGUCAGUCUCCAGUCAUGGGAUCUGGGGGCGGGUUUGGGCACCCACUCUCACUCCCCACUCCUUCUCUAACUCUUUCUGGGUGCUGAUCUGAUCCCCUGUCUCUACUCACACAAGAAGGCUUUCCCUAGUUCGCCCCACUGUUUAGCUUUCUCAGUUUGAGAUGACCACUCUCCAAGGAAGCAGAAGGGGGCCUGCUCAUGGAUCCCCAGGCCUGGGGCCUCUUGGACACAGCUGUCCCACUGAAAGUCCCCUUGAGACCAUGGGAACAGGAUCUGGCCACCUCCCAGCACUCCAGGCACUUCUAACCACUCAUCGGGAGUUUCUCUUGAAGAGAGUCACUGAGGGUCAUCUAAAUGCAGCCCUCGAUGCUCUACGUUCCUGCCAGGCUUUGCCUCGGGCCAACUAUGAGGCAAUCUGCUCAGCUCCCACGCUGACUGCCCGAAUUCGAGCCCUGUUGGACACCUGCCUCUCCCUAGGGGAAGAGGCCACUCAGGUGGCUCUGGCUGUGCUCCUGGCUCCCCAUAGAAGACAGGUCAGGAAGUUGGCUACAACAAGCUAUUUGGGACCCUUGAGGGAAGGGCCUUAAGCACUUGGAAUGGUCCAAGGAAUUAUUGGGGCAGAGGACAAAGCAUUGAAUUUUGAGUUGGGAAACUCAAGCUGAAGUUUUCACUGUUUUGUUCCCUUCCUGUUGAGUAAACUUGGGCAAGUCCCUGCCUUUCUGGGGCCUCAGUUUCCUCAUCUAUGAAGUGGGGUUGUCCUAGAUGACUCCUUCCAGAUCUAACCGCUUUGAGGUCUGUGGGUUCUAGGCACAAUACUGUCAUGCUUAGCAACUGAGAGUGAGGAGGGUCAGGGCUUGGAGAGAGAGUCAGGAGAGAGGAGAGCAGGGAUAGGGGUGGGUCUUCACAGCCCUGGUAGGAAAAGGAAGGUGUAGAACCUCCUUUGUUUCUCCAGAUCGUCUCUACCCACCCUUCGUUUCACUUCCUGAAAAAAAAAAAGAAAACCUAAACUGAAAAAAAAAAACUAAAACAAAAACAAGAGUCCUUUUCUGACUAUUCCAGCCCCACUGACCUUCCUCUUUUCUGAGGCAGUGACAAUAUAGCAGAAAGAUCAUGAAAUCCAAAGGCAGAGGAAGUGGGUUUCAGUUUGAUCUCCGAUGCUUUCUACUGUGUGAUCUCAGUCACAUCAUUGCACAUCUCUGGGCCUGUUUCCUCGUGUGUCAAAUGAAGUAUGAGAGAAAUGAUUAUUAAUAACAAAUUAUUAAUAUGGGGAGGUGGAAUCCAGGGUUUUUUCCCUUUCUAUUUCCUAAAACCCAGUCCUUGUGAAGGACAGAGCUGACAAUGAGACAUUCUCCUCAAUCUUGGCUGGGACCCCACCGCACUGGGAGAGUUUAUUCUGAAUCUAAUCUACUUGAAUUCUGGCCCCUUGUUCUACAUGGAGGACUGGAUGGAGAAUAGAUCUUUUUGUCUAGAUUGCCAUAGGUGGAAGUGGUCUUGGUCUGGCUUGGAGAAGAGUGUCUUUGUCCAAGAGUGCUGACAUGGCUGACAUGAUCAGAGUCACGCCCCCCCAGCCCCUCAUUAGAAUAAGCCUACCUCUCAAUAUAAUAUUCAUUUUCUCAUUAAUUGUUAACCAAUUAGAGUCGAUUUCCAUCCAUCAGGAACAACCUCUUUUCCAAAGGUAUUUAACCAUUCAGUGGUCUCCAAGGUUCAUCUUUGGUUUCUGAGAGAACCACUGAUCUCAUUUUAUUGAUUAUCUGCUAGCCAUAAUUAAUAAAUUGAUUAUUAAUUACCCA